rnacentral:lncRNA from 1 species
CAGCGUUCUAGAGAUUGGUCAUAAAAGCUAAAUACGGACAAGAAGUCCAUUGGUGCACGAAACCUUAGAAUGGAGUUAAUCAGUGGCAAAGCAUAAGCAAAUGCUGGGUAGAGUUCAGCACCAAGACCUCAUUUGAAAUGGAAAAUGGAGGGUCCGUUGGCUUUUGGGGUGACAAAUAGUGAGGUAAUUCUCCGUUGAAAGUUACAUUCCCCAAUUUAUUUCAGUUAUUAAAGCAUCUACAAGCUACAAUCAUGCAGUGCAGGGAAAUCAAAGCUAGAUUGGCUUGGAAGCUGCCAAUUAAUUUUGGGACAAGAAGAUGAGGAGCAUACUACCUCAACCUAAGCAUGUACUUCUGGUCACUGUGAAAGUAAGAUAAAGGAUAUUCCACAAGAUAGAUGCUUAGUUAGUUAAUCAUUUGGGCGGAUAUUCUUUCAAUGGGAUCAGCUGAAUAUAUUCAGUUUGAUGUGUUCUCCAGUCAAACCUGAAAUAGUUCAAGCUUGGAGUUGCAACAAGUGAAA